UACUGGAGUGUGUGUGUGUGUGUGUGUGUGUGUGUUUUUCCCACCAUGGUCAGUGCACCCAUCCUCCAGCCUCCA
rnacentral:pre_miRNA from 1 species